rnacentral:lncRNA from 10 species
UUUUUUUUGAGACGGAGUUUUGCUCUUGUCCGCCAGGCUGGAGUGCAAUGGCUUGAUCUUGGCUCACUGCAACCUCCACCCAGGUUCAAGUGAUUCUCCUGCCUCAGCCUCCCAAGUAGCUGGGAUUACAGGCAUCCGCUGCCACGCCCAGCUAAUUUUUGUAUUUUUAGUAGAGAUGAGGUUUCACCAUAUUGGCCAGGCUGGUCUCAAACUCCUGACCUCAGGUGAUCUGCCUGCCUCGGCCUCCCACAGUGCUGGGAUUACGGCUGUGAGCCACCGCUCCCAGCCUAAAAUGUCUCUUCUUACCCAGCUUCCACCUCCAAGCACACAUGCCUCUCACACAUCUGUGAUUUUGUUAUCUAGUACUGAGCCAACAACAAAGCAGAACAUCUAGCACCAACAAAUAUUUAGAUGAUACACUGUUAAAGCAGCUCCCACUAACACCAGAUAGGCUUAGGGGUCAUUUUGCUCUUUAGCAUCUCCCCUACCGAAGCCUGCAGAAAAUUUCUAAGCUUAUCUGGUGCCGGUGGGAGCUGAGUUCAACCCCGCUAGACAACAGAGUCCCAGACUGUAUGUCCCAGAUUCAACCUCUGGUUCAUGUCAGAUCUAGCAAGAGUUUGGGGCCACCUUAACUUUUCAACUUGCCAGGGAUAGAAAAUGUGGAUGGCCUUUCCCACUGUUUAUUUAUGUGGGUCAGGUGGCUUCACCUGGGUAGGCUCCCAUUUCCUCACAUCCGCAGGGGUGCGCACUUUCUAGACCAGAGAAUGUGUUUAAACCCCAUGUGACCCUUGAGGAAAAAGCUCUAAUAGUAAAGAAGAUCCUCUGUUUGAAGAGAAGGGCAAGGCAGUCUCACACCAAACAAAGCAAUCCAUAUAAGACCCUUUUCUUCUGCCUCAGGAAUUCUUUCUUUUCUUUUCCUUUUUUUUGGUGGGGGGUGGGGGUGGGGGACAGAGUCUCACUCUGUCUCCCAGGCUGGAGUGCAGUGGCACGAUCUUAGCCCACUGCAACCUCUACCUCCUGCGUUCAAGGGAUUCUCCUGCCUCAGCCUCCCAAGUAGCUGGGAUUACAGGCACCACCAUGCCCAGCUAAUUUUUGUAUUUUUAUUUUUAUUUUUUUUAGUGGAGACGGGGCUUUGCCAUGUUGCCCAGGCCAGUCUCGAACUCCUGAGCUCAAGCAAUCCACCCGCCUCGGCCACCCAAAGUGUUGGGAUUACACUGUGCCCGGCCGCCUCAGGAAUUCUCUAAGUGGAGAAUUAGUGGUGGGAAUAUUACACCUGAUAGCUCAGAGGUCUCUACAUUCAAAUUUGUCCAAGGUUUAUUACUGGGGUCCCUGGACAUAAUCCAAAGGGUUCACAGACUAGUUGGACUGGAGGAGGAAUCACUAUUUCCACUAACCUCUCUCUGAAAUUUAGCAAGUUUUCUAUUUUAAAUAUGGUAACAUCGCUUCUCGGCCUUUUAGCUAAGAUCAAGUGGAGUAUCUGUUCUUAUCAGUUUAAAUAUGGUAACAAACUACAGUAGUCUUAUUGGUACCUGUGGCUUAGUCACCAAUAGAAAUCAAGAUAGUUUCAUAUAACAUUAUAGUUACCCCUGAUAUCUCAAAAUAUUUGCCCUGAUCACUAUUGCAAAAUUAUGGAAGUUACUUAACUUGCCAUUAGAUCUUUUUGUAUAAUGUUUAAUAAAUAAGAACAUAUAAAAAUCUUUAUCAUAGACUUUAAAAAAUAUUUUAAUAACUGUAUUUCAGUAUGCCCAGAUGCAUUUUUAGCCCAAUGUAUUUUCUUUUUAUAACCCAAUUUAUUUUCUUUUACUGUUUUAUAUAAAGAUAGUAUUCUGAGCGGGAUGCAUAAACCUCACCAGUCUGCCAAAGGAAUCCAUGUCCAGUAAAGAUUAAGAACCUCAGCUCUAAGUGAGGUUAGAAUGGGGUUUGCAAAUGUUGCUCAGGGUCUGUGUCAAUGUCACUUUAUUUAAACAUUCCUGAGAUUCAGCCUCCAGCUCACUGAGCUCCUCCUAACCAAAUAUGUGAAGGAAGAAGCUGCAUCUGUAUAAACAUCAUCCAGCUAAAGUGUCAGGUUUCCUUCUCUUCUUCACAGUUGUUUGAAGCCAACAGUUAAAGGCAUUAAAAGGAUCAAAUAUCCUGUGUGGCUGGAAGAAGAGAAAAGAACUUGGGAAUUACAACCCAAGCAUUUGGUUUAACUCUGCUACCCUGUUUUAUUUGUUUGAAUUAAGCGCAACCAAUAAGAGCUCAAAAAAUGAAAGAAUAAGUCAUAAACCUGUAAGUUACUGGUUUAAUUUUCUCAGUAGGGCAUUAGGGCAUCACCUAAUAGCUGCUUAACAGCUUGAUAAUGAAGAGUCAUGGCUUCUGAUCAGUGCCUAGACAUGGCGUGACGAAUGCAUUUUACUGUGAUCUGAUCCAGUUACCACUGUGCUGGGAAGGGCUCUGAGGCCAUCUCCAGGUCUAAGAAGGGGAAAGGUGCUGUGGUAGAUCACUGAUGCCUGCUAUGGUAAAGGGAUGGAGCUGUCUGCAUGCCCCAUAAUUACCCAGAGUCCAGCCCUAACUGGUGCCAAUGGCCACCUUUACUUGAAACCCAGGUAGAAAUAUAUUCCUGAACGUUCCUUCCAUAUCUCCCCUCUGUGCUGAAUAGAAAGGGUAACCUCAGUUCCUGUAACUAUUUUGCCAACUAACUGCAUUAUAUUGAUGAACAAGGAGCAUGAAACACAUGAUAUUGUACAAAACUGUCUGGGAUGCAAAAACAUUAUAGCACAAUUGAUGAGAGAGAAUUUACUAAAAAAUUAAUAAAUUGAUCAAAG